rnacentral:rRNA from 1 species
CGGCGUGCCUAAUACAAUGCAAGUCGAACGGCUUUUCUAUGGAAGCUUGCUUCCACUGAGAAGAUAGUGGCGAACGGGUGAGUAACACGUGGGUAACCUGCCCAUAAGAGGGGGAUAACAUCCGGAAACGGGUGCUAAUACCGCAUAGUUUUCUUGAUCGCAUGAUCGGGAAAGGAAAGACGGCCUUUGUGCUGUCGCUUAUGGAUGGACCCGCGGCGUAUUAGUUAGUUGGUGAGGUAACGGCUCACCAAGACGAUGAUACGUAGCCGACCUGAGAGGGUGAUCGGCCACAUUGGGACUGAGACACGGCCCAAACUCCUACGGGAGGCAGCAGUAGGGAAUCUUCCGCAAUGGACGAAAGUCUGACGGAGCAACGCCGCGUGAGUGAAGAAAAGGUUUUCGGAUCGUAAAACUCUGUUGUCAGAGAAGAACAAGUUGGAGAGUAACUGCUCCAGCCUUGACGGUAUCUGACCAGAAAGCCACGGCUAACUACGUGCCAGCAGCCGC